rnacentral:lncRNA from 1 species
UUUUGCGAAGUUUGAAUUGUUUUUAAACGGUUUCAAACUUAAUGAUUGGCCAAUCAAAUGAUGCGCUCCAUUUCAUGUUGUUGCACUAGCGCACGUCUGCCUAUUGAACUAGACUUCAUGGGGGAAGUGGGUAUUUUUAACGGCUAUUUUAAUCUGGGUAAUUUCUUCACUUCCCACGAUCUUUCUUCAAACUUUUUAUGAGAUUUUUUCAUAACCUUGUUCCUGUUCAUCCAAAACCUGACUCUGUUUCAGCUUUCAUUUCCCUUCGGAAACCUCUGAUCUUUCGC